rnacentral:tRNA from 1 species
GCGCCCAUAGCUCAGCUGGAUAGAGCGUCUGGCUACGAACCAGGAGGCCGCAGGUUCGAGUCCUGCUGGGCGCACCA